rnacentral:ncRNA from 1 species
ACGUGAGUAAGUCCUUUCCGAAACGAAUGAUGCUACCUUGAGGUAGGUGGGACAAAGUAGGGAAGGGGUCACAU